UCGUACUGGUCGAUUGGGAAACUCAUCAAUUAAUAGAUAAAUUCCGAGACAAGCUUACCGUUUCUAAUGGCGGGUCACACCCUCCGGGGUUGCUUUAUGCGCAGUGAAUUACAAAGGGAGCGGGGCACUCAAAUCCUGUUUUACGGAGUUUCGUCAUUUUCCACUGGUACGGCUCUUC
rnacentral:sRNA from 1 species